UUGAUCUCAAAUCAGGUAGGACUACCCGCUGAACUUAAGCAUAUCAAUAAGCGGAGGAAAAGAAACUAACAAGGAUUCCCCUAGUAAGUGCGAGUGAAGCGGGAAAAGCUCAAAUUUAAAAUCUGGCAGUCUUUGGCUGUCCGAGUUGUAGUCUAGAGAAGCGUCUUCCGCGCUGGACCGUGUACAAGUCUCUUGGAACAGAGCGUCGUAGAGGGUGAGAAUCCCGUCUCUGACACGGACUACCAGUGCUUUGUGAUGCGCUCUCAAAGAGUCGAGUUGUUUGGGAAUGCAGCUCAAAACGGGUGGUAAAUUCCAUCUAAAGCUAAAUAUUGGCGAGAGACCGAUAGCGAACAAGUACCGUGAGGGAAAGAUGAAAAGCACUUUGGAAAGAGAGUUAAACAGUACGUGAAAUUGCUGAAAGGGAAACGCUUGAAGUCAGUCGYGUCGUUCAGAAAUCAGCCUUGCUUUUUGCUUGGUGCAUUUUCUGACUGACGGGCCAGCAUCAGUUUUGACUGCGGGAGAAAGGUCAGAGGAAUGUGGCACCUCCGGGUGUGUUAUAGCCUUUGAUCGCAUGCCGUGGUUGGGACUGAGGAACUCAGCACGCCUUUGUGGCCGGGGUUCGCCCACGUUCGUGCUUAGGAUGCUGGCGUAAUGGCUUUAAACGACCCGUCUUGAAACACGGACCAAGGAGUCUAACAUGCCUGCGAGUGUUUGGGUGGCAAACCCGAGCGCGCAAUGAAAGUGAUAGUUGGGAUCCUUGUCAUGGGGAGCACCGACGCCCGGGCCAGACCUUCUGUGACGGCUCCGCGGUAGAGCAAGCAUGUUGGGACCCGAAAGAUGGUGAACUAUGCCUGAAUAGGGUGAAGCCAGAGGAAACUCUGGUGGAGGCUCGYAGCGAUUCUGACGUGCAAAUCGAUCGUCAAAUUUGGGUAUAGGGGCGAAAGACUAAUCGAACCAUCUAGUAGCUGGUUCCUGC
rnacentral:rRNA from 1 species